GACGAACGCUGGCGGCGUGCUUAACACAUGCAAGUCGAACGGAAAGGCCCUGCUUUUGUGGGGUGCUCGAGUGGCGAACGGGUGAGUAACACGUGAGUAACCUGCCCUUGACUUUGGGAUAACUUCAGGAAACUGGGGCUAAUACCGGAUAGGAGCUCCUGCUGCAUGGUGGGGGUUGGAAAGUUUCGGCGGUUGGGGAUGGACUCGCGGCUUAUCAGCUUGUUGGUGGGGUAGUGGCUUACCAAGGCUUUGACGGGUAGCCGGGCUGGGAGGGUGACCGGCCACAGUGGGACUGAGAUACGGCCCAGACUCCUACGGGAGGCAGCAGUGGGGAAUAUUGCACAAUGGGCGGAAGCCUGAUGCAGCAACGCCGCGUGCGGGAUGACGGCCUUCGGGUUGUAAACCGCUUUCGCCUGUGACGAAGCGUGAGUGACGGUAAUGGGUAAAGAAGCACCGGCUAACUACGUG
rnacentral:rRNA from 1 species